rnacentral:rRNA from 1 species
UACGUAGGGUGCAAGCGUUGUCCGGAAUUAUUGGGCGUAAAGAGCUCGUAGGCGGUUUGUUGCGUCGGCUGUGAAAUCCCGAGGCUCAACCUCGGGUCUGCAGUCGAUACGAGCAAACUAGAGUGUUGCAGGGGAGACUGGAAUUCCCGGUGUAGCGGUGAAAUGCGCAGAUAUCGGGAAGAACACCCGUGGCGAAGGCGGUUCUCUGGGACGGUACUGACGCUGAGACGCGAAAGCGUGGGGAGCGAACAGG